rnacentral:lncRNA from 1 species
CAUUUUCAAAUUCCAACUCCCUCUGGCUCACAUCCCCAUAAGAAUUUUGAUGACUUUGAGUAGUCUUAAGUCUUUCUCUAAUCACCUCCACCUUCUCCAUGGCUUGGUGAACCAAGUUGAUAUAAAAUCAACCUAGUCUCACCUACCCCGAACCGUCCAAUAAGAGACCUGGACCUUCUACCAUAAAAAGGACUCAAAAGGGGCCAUUUGGAUGCUAGAAUGAUAACUAUUAUUGUGAGAAAAUUUGAUAAGAGGCAAAUGGUCAACCCAACUACCUUUAAAAUUCAUUAAACUGGAAAUUCUAUCUCUUGCAAAGUACCACCCGACCUCAAAUGUUCAACCUUAACUUAUUGAUAAACCAUACAAUUAGUAAUAAAGUUUGCCAUAUCCCUCUUCAUAUUAUUCCACCAGUAGAUUUCCUUCAAAUCAUGAUAUAUUUUGAUCGAACCCACAUGAAUUGUAUAUUUUUACUUGUGAGCUUCGGUAAAAAUUCUUUCCCGCAGCCUAUAUACAUUAGGAAUACACAACUUUCUUUGAUACUCAAGAUGCCAUCUCCCCCAAUCUCAAAAGCCAUAAUCUUUUGCUGACCCACAUCAACUUUGAUUUGCACGAGCAUGAGAUCCAAUACCUGUUUCUCUAUGAACUCA